AACUGCGGAGGGGCAGGGAGGGGGACAGAGGUUGCGAAGCAGGGUCUGUACUGACCGCAGAGAGCCUGAUGCAGGGGUCGAACUCACGAACAGAAAGAUCACGACCUGAGCCGAAGUCCCAGGCUCAACCACCUGGGCCACACGAGUGCCCCUGCACAUUCAUUUCUUUAACAAAGGCAGACAGGAGUGCCAGUCCCCGGGUGGGCGCGGGGAGGAGGGGGAGACGUGGCCCUGCUGUGGGUGGGUGACCUGGCUGGGGGCGCUGAACUUGGAGACAGGGAGGUUGGGGAUGGGACAGGAAUCCUACUGCUUUCCUGGAUAAAGGGGACAAGGAUCACCUCCUCCCUCCCCUGGCUGCAGGCUGGGGGCUCCCGCGCGUCACCCUCACGUCACCCUGUUUGGGAACCGACCCACUAGAGCAGGGCCCAGAACGCCUACUGUGGUCCGUCCAGCGUCUCCUUCCUCUACCUGAUGGCAGGCCCCCCGGUGCGGCCAUCCAGAGCCGUCCGGAACCACGGUGCCCAGCGGAGAGAACCCCCGCCAGCUUCCCCUGCAGGGGCAGGUGACGGGGCGCGCGGACCCCGCAGUCGCUCCUGUGGGCCCCCCGCUGGUGCUCCCGGAAGUGCAGUGAAUCACGAGCCCGCGCCCCCCCCCCUCCGGGGGCCUCAUGUUCUGGCGUUGGCGCCCUCUAGUGGCCAUGCCGGAGCAGCCCCGCACUGCCCGCUGGGAAGCGGGAGGCGCAGACUUGGGAAGCCUGGAGGCGGGAAGCGCAGACGCUGGGAAGAUGGUGGCGCAGGAGGACGCUCGGCUCACCUGGUCCCGCUGAUCGCUUAGAUUCCACCCACAUCGGCCUAAGUAACGCAGAAAACCGCCAGAAGACUAGCAGAACGGACUCUCCGGAGCCAAGCGUAGGCGAGAGGCCCACGGAAGAGGAUCCACUCCCUGGGAUCCGCUAGGUCGGUUCGUGGCCAGUUCCCAUCGAAGCAGCACCACAAGCCUGGCAGUGUGCGAGCAGCCCAGACGGGCCACACCACUCCACACGCAGGGGAAGUGCCCUGCAGUUUGGAGCUACCGGAUCUCUAGCAAACUCCGGGUCUGAUCCAGUGCGCCCCAGACCGACCCACUAACCGCACAGGGACCCGAUCCUGCCCACAACAGGUAGAGCCACUGCACGGAAGGCCAGCGCAGUUCAGCCACAGCAGUAGCAACUGCUACCGUAGCAACGCACACAGGGACGCCCCUGAAGCGCCAUCUUCCCGUUAACAGGGGACACUGCACCGCGGGGCACUACAGGACCUCGUCUUCCUAAGGCCACUGCUUUAAGUGCGGGAGACGCAGCUGACUUUGCUAACAGAGACACAGACGCAGCAGUAGACAAAAUGAGGAGACGGAGGAAUAGGUCCCAAAUGAAAGAACAGAACAAAACCACAGCGAGAGACGUAACCAAAACGGAGACGUGUUCUGUAACUGAUCUAGAAUUUAGAGUAACCCUCCUAAAGAUGUUGGCUACAGUGGAGGAAAGCCUGGAGAACAUCCAGAAAGACCUAAAACACCUAAAAAAGGACCGGGAAGAGAUGAUCAACUCACUAAAAGAAACGAACAAGAGACCAUCUGGAAAAAAUAAGAAAGAAGAGACCGGACAAGGGCAGAGCAGCAGCCCAGACAAAGUAGUGGAAAGUCACCAAGCGGAGCCAGUGAGAGUGAGAAAAGUUGUGCAAGAUGAGAACAGACCUAGGGAACUCCGCGACACCAUCAAGCAUAACAGUCGAGUUACAGGGGUAGCAGCAGAAGAAGAGAGAGAAAAGGAGGCAGAACAUUUAUUUGAGGAGAUAAAAGCUGAAAACUUCCUGAAUCUGGGGAAGGAAACAGAAACCCAGACCCAGGAGGCUCAGAGAGCCCCCCAAAAAACCAACCCGUAGAGUUCCAUACCAGGCCAGCCAGUAAAUAAAAUGGCAAAACCUAAGGAUAAAGAGAGAAUUUUAAAAGCGUCAAGAGGAGAGAAAGCAGUUACAUCCAAGGAAAAUCCCAUAAGGCUAUCUGGAUUUUUCAGCAGAAACUUCAGAGACCAGAAGGGAGCAGCAUGAUGUAUUCAGGUGCUAAGAGGCAAAAGUCUGCAGCCAAGAACACUAUCCAGCAGGGCUCUCCUUCAGAAUAGAAGGAGAGAGAGUUUCCCAAACUAACAAAAGGGAAACCAGCCACUUCCCUGUCACACACAACGCCACCCGCCUGUGGGUCCCAAAUCCACAGUCCAGCCCCCCUCCUGCCUGAGUCUGCUUGUGGGCAGUAAAAGAAACCCAAACC